AUAUUUAAGUAGAUGAGGGAGCAAACAGCACCUGAUCUUGUGGAGGUUUGUUCGUGAGCAGAGGUCGUGCCAGCAGCUCCUCUAGGAGCUGUGGGUGUGCUUUUCAUGGGCCACGAGAGGAGGUGAAGCAACCUGCUUUGAAGAGUGGAAAGGAGCGCUUUGCCUAGUUUGGAAGACUGGUGACAUGAAAGGUAGAUACUUCUGGGCUGUCAGAGGAAGGAAGCUCAGUUAUUUCAGAGCGUGCGCCCUCAGUGAACGACCUGAAGAACACAGGAAGAGUAAUUUAGUAGAGCGUUAUGUUGCCUAUUUGGAAUGCAAAUACUACUGAAAUGUACACUUCUGCAGAAGCAAUUCUCCUCUGUAUGACAUCCCUGCCGAGUGCUGCCCUGCUGCCUUCUAUACCCAUUUGAACUUAAUCCCAAUUAGGAACAGAUCAUUUUUCUGUAUGUAAAAAUCUCAUUAGAUUAUCUCACAAGCCAACUAUCUGAAAAUCUGUGUUUUUUUUACCCUUGUUCUUGGAGGAGUACAUGGAUAGUUAGCUAAGAUGCUGUGUGCAUGGCACAAAAUCACAUCAGUUUGUGUAACAUCACUAAAAUUCAGAGUUUUUGCUCCUUGCAUUAUGGUUUCUGACAAGAAAAAUAUCAUGGUACUGGGUCAUACUUCAGCCACGUCUACUUCUCUUAACCCCCCCAGUAACUACAGUUCAGCAGAGUUUUUACUUCUGUAUUUUAACUUUUUUCCUCUGGAAGCAGUCCACUAUCUUUUCCCCCAGCUAUGGUGGGUGCACUAAAGUGUUUCUUCUGUUCUGACAGAUUUUGGCAGUUUGUGGAAAAUUCACUCUAUGUAUAAUGAGGAUUACAGCUGAACCUAGUUCUGACUGUCAAACCAGAAGGCAUGUUCUGCCACACCAUUGCAGUGGGAGGAUAGGUUUUGUUUGCAGGCUUUGAGGAAUUUUGCCUUCAGCUCUCAAUAACCGAAGACCCUUUAUGCUCCCAUUUUCCUUAUAGAUGUAUGUUCUUUGGGAUGUGCUAGAUCUCAAGUCAGAGUAUGGCAGAGCCUUUUCAAUCUAAGAUGUGUAGUCUUCACCACUGACAGCCUGAUAAGCUUUUACUGCACACCCCCUCCCUGUGAAAUGGAAAAGGACUUCUCCUUUUUUAUAGCUGUAUUUUUGUAAAAUAGAAAGUGCCACAGCCAAAUUUAGUCAGCUGGACUGUGGACAAAGGGUAGAACUGAUGGCUUGUCUCUCAAGUUUUGUGCGACUCCUGAAAACAAUCACAUCACCCAUCAGAAAUGACAGCAAGACAUUGUGCCUCCUGACCCUUUUGAAAAUUCAUUACGUUUAUCUUGGAAAUUGUCAAUCUUGAGUUGGCUGGAAUUAUCUAAGGAAACUGGGAUUUAGUGUCCUACGUGUCAGUAAGAAUUGAUUUCCGUGAUGAAACAUUCAAAUAUGCCAAUAAAAAGAAUUUCUUGGGAUGUAAGAAGGUUCCCAUUGGCUAGUGGCUAAAGCUGGCAGAGGAAGAAAGUUUAGUCUUCUCUACUUGUAUGGUAUCCAACCACUUCAGUAACCAGAGCUCACGUUCUGUAUUCCGUGUGGGACCACUGAAUGAAAAAAAACCUUGCUUCAUGCUGAAUGCGUGGAACAUUCAAUCAAAUCUUGGAUGUUUCAUUUGCUCUCAAUCUUCCCAGGUAGGCCAAACAUAAGGUGUGCUAAAGAUUGAGUACUUGGUAUUUUACAACUAUAUUCUUUCCAUCUCUUUUUUAGCCCUGGAAAAAGGAUGAUGUUGAAGGACUGUAAAGCAAUUAAGGAUUUUAUGUGUUGUUUCUAUGGCGUCAGUAGUCAGCUUUCACCCACAGACUCAGACCAUGUCUUGAUGAAAAUACUGAAAAACUUUGCCCAGAGGUCUGCCACUGAAACCCUACACUAUUUCGUUUAUAAAUACAUGGAAUUCUAUACUUGUUGCAUCCAAGAAUAUGAACUCCAAAGUGCAAAAAAAAGUUAAAACUUCACUUCUACUUGCCUACUUUCUUUUCCUAGCUGAGAAUGCCCAGCUGCUUCAUUUCAGUACUGUUGUAGUGUUCAGCUCUGCUAUAUGAGGCAACAGAACAAACUUCAAAAUUCAAGGUGAAUUUUUGAGUCUUUAUGUCUUUGAAUACUUAUCUGCACAGUGGCUAAUCUCUACUGUCAAAAUAAACCAUCUGCCUUUCACUUCAAGCAGAAAACCUAAAUGGUUCCCAGAAUGUACAGCUCCAUCAGCCCCCUCUGCCCAGUUGGCAUCUCCAUAUCCAUCACGCACAUUAUACUGCUUCAACCACUGCCCAACAUUUCUUUCAUUCCACUCAGGAAUUCCUUUCUUUUCUUUGCAGUCUUUGAGCAGAAAUCUCAUAGAGGCCAUGUUUCAAUGUCCUGUAUGAAUUACAAGUCACUGUAAUAGAUAUUAGGCACUGAGACCUCUUUCGAUAAUUUAUUUCUUAGGGGAAAAGCUUCUCAAAAAUCAGGUCUGAUGCUUCCAGCUGUAACCGAGGCCUUGACUUUGAGUCAGCCAUGUUUAAUUGGACACUAGACAAUACAUUUAGAGCAUUUUAAGCAUGUUUUCAGAUGUAAAAGUGAUGGAUUCACACAGAGAAAAAUAGAAGUUAGAUACUCUAUUUCUGCUGGGACAUUUCUAAAAAGGUAAUUCUGUGCCACAAAGGAAAAUUGUACCUGAUCUUAGCUAUGAACUAUGCCAUUGUGCAUAAGAGAACAGUCGACUUCUCUGUUCCUGCCUCUAUUCAUAUUAGAAGAAGUUACAUGCAAACAUUUGAAAAGAAACAUUGAUUUGAUUCUCCCCAUUUUCUGCUUUGCACCUGUAGCUCCUACAGCUGUUUAAUUUUUCAUUAUAUAACAACAACAACAACAAAAAAGAAAUGUCAUCAGUUUCCGUGCGUUUUUUUUGUUCCUUUUUUGCUGCUUUGUGUAAAGCCGUUUUUGAUUUAGCAACACUUGUCUGUACGCUUUCAUGUUAUUUCUUUCAAAUCACUCCCUGUAGUGUGAAUAAAUGUUAUUUGUGUCAGCAG
rnacentral:lncRNA from 7 species